rnacentral:rRNA from 1 species
UACGUAGGGUGCAAGCGUUGUCCGGAAUUAUUGGGCGUAAAGAGCUCGUAGGCGGUUUGUCGCGUCGAAUGUGAAACCCGGGGCUCAACCCCGGGCCUGCAUUCGAUACGGGCAGACUAGAGUUCGGUAGGGGAGUCUGGAAUUCCUGGUGUAGCGGUGAAAUGCGCAGAUAUCAGGAGGAACACCGGUGGCGAAGGCGGCUCACUGGCCCGGAACUGACGCUGAGGUGCGAAAGCCAGGGUAGCGAACGGG